GGAGUCGGCCGGACAGUCGCUGCGCAAUGACGUGGAGGAAAGUCCGGACUCCGCAGGGCAAGGUGCCAGGUAACGCCUGGAAGACGCGAGUCUAUGGAAAGUGCCACAGAAAUGAUACCGCCUAAGCGCCUCGGCGCCGGUAAGGGUGAAAUGGUGCGGUAAGAGCGCACCGCGCGGGUGGUAACACCAGCGGCAGGGUAAACCCCACCUGGAGCAAGACCAAAUAGGGGAGCGGGCGGCAGGUCCGUCACGUGUGGCCCACACGGCUCCCGGGUAGGUCGCUUGAGGCGUACGGUGACGUGCGUCCCAGAUGAAUGACUGUUCAUGACAGAAUCCGGCUUACAGGCCGACUCCUUAA
rnacentral:RNase_P_RNA from 2 species